AGCUUUGCACAUUGGCAGUAUUGUAGCCAAUGAGGUUUAUCCAAGGCGCGAUUAUUGCUGAUUGAAAACUUUUCCCAAUACCCCACCAUGAUGGCUUGAAAUAUAGUUGGAGUUGGCAAUUUUUGGCAGUCUCUACGGAGA
ensembl:snRNA U4 U4 spliceosomal RNA